rnacentral:lncRNA from 1 species
AUUACAGGUGUGAGCCACUGCGCCAUGCCUUGUUCCACUUUAUCUUUCAAGAGUAAGUUUCAUCGUGGAUUAUGGUUAAAGACAAGUGCUGAUUUGGUUUUCCUACCUGAUCACGAGGCCACUCGAUAGAACUAGUAAGCUAUGCCUUGGGCCUGCAGGAUGGCACCUGACUUGAAGAUAGCACCUGACUUGAAGAUGGCACCUGACUAGCAUUUGGACUGGUUUGCAGGCUGAGCACAGGGUUGCUCCAGGUGGGCCCAAAUGCUGAAGAGCCUCAUGUUAGAGUUUUUCACCUCUGCGAUGGAACUGUGGUGGACUCCAGUAUCAUCAUUCCAGGGAGGCAUAGCCGCACCAACUGUGUUCCCAGGUUUCACAUGGAGAAGGGUUUUAGAAAGUGCAGAUAGCCUUGAAACCAUUGGUUUCCUACCACUGUUUAUUUCAG